UUCCUUUUGAAAUCCAAGAAUUCAUAUCUUGUCUCAAAAUUAAGCCCCCCCGUGUAAGUAUGAAUCAUUCUCCGAUCCCGAAGCGAACGUCAUUAAAUCAAUCCUAUUUGUUAUGGUGCUAUGUACAGACCGUAGGCUUUUUGAGCACUACGUUCAACAAAAGUAACAGCUGGAGGGCACGAUUUAUUAUUAAAAGCCAGGACGCAUCGCCGCAGAAGGACGAGAUUCGGACACCGACGGCGGCCGGCCUUAGCCCCAAACGCAUCAACAAAUUUUUAACUAUGCAACUUCGAUAUAUAUAGUGGCCUACCAUGGUGGUGGCGGCUGCGGCAAUUUGGUUCCUUGGGGAGGGAGUUGAGGAGGCUACCACAUCAAGGAACCAGCAGGAUCGAAAGCCCCAAUUAUUUACGGGGAGGUAGUGACGUAAAUAACAAUUGGGGCUCGCGCGAGCUGCUAAUUGGAAUGAUACAAUCUAAAUCCUUAACUCCCUCCCGGGAGGGCAAGUUGGUGCCAGCAGCCGCCACCAUCCAGUCCAAUAGCUAUAUUAAGUUUUGCAUUAAAAAGCUGUGAUGACUUUGGGCGGGCCGGCCGGCCCCCGAGGUUGCAUGGUCGUCAGUCCCUUCUGCCGGCGCGCGACCCUUUUUAAUGGCCGGGUCGUGCCUCCAGUCUGGGGUUUGAAGAAAUUAGAGUGCUAAAUUACCUACGCUCUGUAGUAGUUAGCAUGGGAAACAUUAUAGGAUUUCGGUGAGCCACGUUGGCCUUCGGGUCGGAGUAUGUUACAGGGACAGCGGGGGCUUCGUUUUGAUAGCAGAUGUGAAAUUCAGGAUUUAACCAGACAACAACUCGAAACGCUGCCCGGAGAGACCGGUAUCAAGAACGUCUCCCGGGGCUCGAAGACGAGGGAUACCGCCUAGAACGAACCUAAACGAGCCGAGGCGGAUUGCGGUGUGCAAAACGGACUCCGGGGCAUUUGGAGAAAUCGCCCCUUUGGGUUCCGGGGGGAGUAUCCGAGCAAGGCUGAAACUUAAAGGAAUUGACGGCCGGCGCGACCAUUCGUGGAGCCGCGGCUUAAUUUGACUCUUCCGGGGAAACCCGCAGGUCCAGACGCGUGCGAUUGACAGAGCGCGAGAAAUUGAGAUCUAAGGUGGUGGUGCAUGCCGAGGUAGUUGGUGGAGCGACCGUCUGUUAAUUCCUUUGCGAACUUGUGUCUUGUGCUAACUAGCUAUGCGGAGGUACCCGCGCUGCCAGCUUCUUAUCCAACUACGCCACACGCCCGCACUCACACACACAAUCUCGCGUCGCAAAUGCCCUUAUCGUUCUGGGCCGACGAUCGCUACACUGCCCGGACAACGAGCCGUAGCCUCCCCCCACCGCCCGGGUAAUCUUUGAAAUUUCCCGCGCGGGGAUAGUCAGGCAAUUGUUGGUUUCACAGGAAUUCUCACAGCGUGAGUCAUCAGUCCGUUGGUACGUGGAGGAGGAAGUACACGAGGGAAUCCUCCUCCGAUUGAAUGAUCCCUGAAGUGUUCGGUCAGGCCCGUGGGCGGUUCCUGCCCGCAUCGUCCGAGAACAGCAGCUUACUUACAUUUAGAGGAAGGAGAAGUAACUCACAACCUACGUAGGUUGCCUGCGGAAGGAUCUUGU
rnacentral:rRNA from 1 species